UGGUGUGUUCUUAACACUUUUUUGACCGUGUCGGGGAGAUGGAAGCCGACUGAUCAGUCAGGCUACCUUUUCUGGCGAUGAUCCACAGUGGGGUCAGUGUGUCUUCACCCUUACAUGCACCUUAUUAGGUUAAUAGAGUCAAUCUAAAUUUGGCUGUAGGUGUGAAUGGUUGUUCUGUUGUCAGACCUGUGAUGAACUGACAACAUGUCCUGACAACAUGUGUGCUGGAAUAGAUUCCACUACACCUGUGACCGUAUCAAGGACUAAGCACUUUGGAAAAUGAGGGAAUGAAUGUGUAUUAAAGCUUUAAUCCUUUAACACUUUAAUAUUUGAUUAGCCCCUUUUCGUAGUGGUGACAUUUAUUACAUGAGAUAUAAGA